ACUUAUAUAGCAUAAAAAUAGUGCAGUUAAUUUCCACUUAGCUUGUCCGAGGAGGUA
rnacentral:tRNA from 1 species